AUGCUGUCCAAGUUUAUGCGUUUGUUCCUUAUUGCAGCAGCGAUCCUAACCGGCCGUUGUCGAGGCGAUGCCGUUUUUCAGACAUCAGCUAUAUCCGUUGUGACUGAAGGCGGUGAGGUAUCGUUGAACUGUAACUAUAGUGCUACAAGGAUUGGCGAUUUUACAUUAUACUGGUAUCGUCAGUAUCCCGGCGGAUCUCUGGAGCACCUAUUGAAACGGAGUAAAUACGGUGCAAACUCGAUACAGACCCCAGGACAACGCUUCUCUGCACAGCUGGACGAUUCGAAUAGAACGCUCCCACUUACUGUGUCUGAUACACAGCUGCCAGACGAGGCUGUGUAUUUCUGCGCGCUGAGACCCACAAUGGAACAGACUUAA